GGGGUAUCUCUGCACGGUGGCUCUGACGGAGUUGCCGUAAUACGGAGGGACGGGGUUGCCUUGUCCGUCGAUAUUAAAAAGUACAUCCACUUCCUCGGCAAGAGGAUACUGCGUGGGGUCCAUAUGUUUCUCUUCUUUGAUCACCUGUAACGAGAAAGUGGAAAGGGAAGGAGCAGAGAGAGGGAGAGAAGCAGAGAGAGAGGAACGUUCUUGAGAAGUUCUGAACUUUAGCACCUGACUUUUUAGGCAGGAGAAAACCCAUCCCAUCCCGCGGCAGCCAUCCCUGGGAAGUGCCUGCUCUGCCCUGGACCCACCUCUCCCCAGCGCCUCUUUCUCUUUCGCUCUCUCCUCUCCGGCUGGGAGCGGAGCCGAGCAGCUCUAACCGCGCUCCUGCCGUCUCAGCUCGUACUCUUGCUCUUUUCUUUUUGGCUUUUCUUUUUUUUCCUUUUUUUUUUUUUCCUCCGCGGUUGUUUGUUUAUUUGUUUGUUUGCUCAAUUUGCACCUGAGAAGAUCCAGUGGCUUAAGCCGGUGAGAACUUGUGCCAUUCGCUUGCUCUGCAGCCUAAAGCCACUUUGAUUGCUCAUUAAUUAUUAUGCAACAGAGAAAGGGGGGAAGGCAUUCUUUCUGAAAGGAGCAGGAUGGCGCCAGCCGGCUCAGUGCUUACAGACAGCUGUGGCGAGACGCAACUUAAGGAGGUUCCAGUGUCAUAAGCCCGGGGAGGCGGAGCCUGUCCCCGCCUGAGGAGGGGACCGCACCGGCCGCCCCCGCGCUGCUGCCGACCGAACUCCCUUUUAACAACUUCUUUUUAACUUUUUUCCCCCCUAGUUGUUUGGGGGUUUGUUU